CCUUAGAGUUUGAUCCUGGCUCAGGAUGAACGCUGGCGGCGUGCCUAAUACAUGCAAGUCGAACGAAUCUCUUUUAGAGAUGAGUGGCGAACGGGUGAGUAAUACAUAGGUAACCUGCCCCUGUGCGGGGGAUAACAGGAGGAAACUCCUGCUAAUACCGCAUAGCCAUGAGCACCGCAUGGAGCUCAUGCCAAAUAUCCUUUAUGGGAUAGCGCAGGGAUGGACCUAUGGCGCAUUAGCUGGUUGGCGGGGCAACGGCCCACCAAGGCAACGAUGCGUAGCCGGCCUGAGAGGGCGGACGGCCACAUUGGGACUGAGACACGGCCCAGACUCCUACGGGAGGCAGCAGUAGGGAAUUUUCGGCAAUGGGGGAAACCCUGACCGAGCAACGCCGCGUGAGCGAAGAAGGCCUUCGGGUCGUAAAGCUCUGUUGUAAAGGAAGAACGGCGCAUACAGGAAAUGGUAUGCGAGUGACGGUACUUUACCAGAAAGCCACGGCUAACUACGUGCCAGCAGCCGCGGUAAUACGUAGGUGGCGAGCGUUAUCCGGAAUCAUUGGGCGUAAAGAGGGAGCAGGCGGCCGCAAGGGUCUGUGGUGAAAGACCGAAGCUAAACUUCGGUAAGCCAUGGAAACCGGGCGGCUAGAGUGCGGAAGAGGAUCGUGGAAUUCCAUGUGUAGCGGUGAAAUGCGUAGAUAUAUGGAGGAACACCAGUGGCGAAGGCGACGGUCUGGGCCGCAACUGACGCUCAUUCCCGAAAGCGUGGGGAGCAAAUAGGAUUAGAUACCCUAGUAGUCCACGCCGUAAACGAUGGUCACUAAGUGUCGGGGGUCAAACCCCGGUGCUGCAGUCAACGCAAUAAGUGACCCGCCUGAGUAGUACGUUCGCAAGAAUGAAACUCAAAGGAAUUGACG
rnacentral:rRNA from 1 species